rnacentral:rRNA from 1 species
GACGAACGCUGGCGGCGUGCUUAACACAUGCAAGUCGAACGGAAAGGCCCUGCUUUUGUGGGGUGCUCGAGUGGCGAACGGGUGAGUAACACGUGAGUAACCUGCCCUUGACUUUGGGAUAACUUCAGGAAACUGGGGCUAAUACCGGAUAGGAGCUCCUGCUGCAUGGUGGGGGUUGGAAAGUUUCGGCGGUUGGGGAUGGAUUCGCGGCUUAUCAGCUUGUUGGUGGGGUAGUGGCUUACCAAGGCUUUGACGGGUAGCCGGCCUGAGAGGGUGACCGGCGACAUUGGGACUGAGAUACGGCCCAGACUCCUACGGGAGGCAGCAGUGGGGAAUAUUGCACAAUGGGCGGAAGCCUGAUGCAGCAACGCCGCGUGCGGGAUGACGGCCUUCGGGUUGUAAACCGCUUUCGCAUGUGACGAAGCGUGAGUGACGGUAAUGGGUAAAGAAGCACCGGCUAACUACGUG